UAAUUUGAAAAUAUUGCACCA
rnacentral:piRNA from 1 species